UUCGCCGCCAGCCCCUGUCUCCAGAGGCUGCUGUUUGCCCCGGGCACGGCUUCUCCCAGCAGCCAGGAAGGGGAGCUUGCUUGCUGUCACAAGGCCAGCGAAGCGAGGUGCAGCCAGCGGAGCUCCUGGCAGGCCAUCCCUGCCCUCGGUGCCCUCAGCAGCCCUGGCCUGGCCUCACGCCCUGGCAGCACUUUGCCUGCGGCCUGUAUGAAACUGCAGAGCCACAAGAGCCAGCCUGAAAGGAGACAUGGCUAUACGUAAAAUACCAUAUAACCUACCCUUAAAAGUCAUAGAGCCAGAGAAUAGCUUGGGUUGGAAGGGCCCUUAAAGGUCAUUUAGUUUCGGCCCCUCUGCCAUGGACAGGGACACUUUCCACUAGACCAGGUUGCUCGGAGGCUCAUCCACCUGGCCUGGGGAUACUUUAGAGAUGGGGCAUCUAAGACCUGUUCCAGUGUCUCACCACCCUCACCAUGAAGAAUUUUUUCCUAUUAUUUAACUGAAACUACUCUGUUUAAAUCCAUUCUCCCUUAUCCUGGCACUACAUGCUAUUGUAAAAAGUCCCUCUCCAUCUUUCUUGUAAACUCCCUUAGAUACUGGAAGGCCACAACCCCAAAACCUUCUCUUUUCCAGGCUGAAUAACCCAAACUCUCUCAGCCUUUCCUCAUAGGAAAGGUGCUCCAGCCCUCUGAUCAUCUUGGUGGCCUCCUCUGGAUUCAUUCCAACAGAUCAACAUCCUUCACUCCUGUUGAGGACCUGAGAGAUGUAUGCCCCACUCCAGGAGAGGUCUCACCAGGGUGGAGUAGAGGGAUAGAAUCACCUGCCUUGACCUGCUGGCCACACUGCUUUUGAAGAUGGAAACACUGCAGCAUCCUGUGGCAACAUAGUCCUAUUUGUCACUUCCUCUGUGGCUAAAUAAUUCUUCCUGCUGUCUAAAUUAGAUCACUGCUGCCACGGUUCAGCCAGUUCUCAUCUCUGAAGAUAGAUAGCAAAGAAUUCCAAGAGGGCAAUCUGCUGGGAAAAAUACAAACUUACGUUAGUUACCAACUAGCCUGUUUAAUGAGGAAAACAUCCUAAGGGAAGCAAAACUCUGUGCAGACUUCCCUCGAACAGCCUGCUGAGGUGAAAAGUUGCAGCUGUUCCAUGUUGCCCAAAGAGUCGGAUUCUGGAAUGAAUCUUCCUUCAGGUGCAGUACAGCACAUGGGGCAUUAGAAAUACAGCACUGAAAAUGCAGGAAGCACAAGGUGCUGCAAGACAUAAGAAUGGCAGUGCAUGCCUGUUCUAGGAUAACUGCUCUGGAGGUUUUGAUCAAUGCUUUGGCCACUGCACAAAUACAGAGGAAGUCUCUAUCAUGACCAGGUGAGUUUAUCACCAAAACUGAAUCCAGAAGUAUAGCAUAGAAGAAAAGGAAGUUCUUGAAUGGGGACUGGAGGCAAACACAGUAGUCCACAUUGUCCUGGAGGCAGUCUGAUUUCUACACGUGAAGUCUUCCCUUGCAUUGGGCAAUAUCAGGACCUCUGCAGGAAAGACACUGAGCAACCUCAUUUGGUCAGUGUUGCAAGAGCAGAAGGGAUGGCUGGAAGAGGAGGGACCAAGAGAUUUGGCACAAGUCACAGCAAGAAAGCAUCAUUUGGGCCAAGAACAGAUUUAUUAAGGGAAUGGAUUUCAAAGCCCAUCAAAAGACUUUUGAAGCUCAUUGAUAUCCAAUGGCAAGUAUUUAAGAAAGAAGAGCAGCUGUGUAUAAAAUGACCCAGAGAGAAGAAAACAUGGGAUACAUGCAGAAAAAAAUCUUGAAAUUGCUCAAUUGAGAAGAAGAUGCUAAGAAGUUUUUUGACAGAAAAGUUUUUAAAUUUAAUAAUUAAAACCCAGCCUAUUGCCAAUGAUUCCUCAAGUAGGCUUUUUGUUCUUCAGAGCCUGCAAUACUUCAGAUUUCUGGGAAGGAAAGAGUAUUCCUCUUUUAAAAUCUGAUUGUUCUUUCAAUACAUGCUAGAGAAAGCUAGGCAUGACUAAACUAUUAUUUGAAGAGUUUGUAGAUGAUUGUGGAUCAUAAUUAUAUCCUGUUUAAAACAUCCCUUGAGGUAGGGAUGGAAUAGGGUAAUUUGUGACCCUUCCCUUGUCUUCAAUUACUAAUGACAGCCUGAACUGAUGAACAAAAAAAAAAAGUGUAAGGCUUUGAGUUUCAGCCACAUUAAACACCUCUCUUUGCUAAACAAAUCACAAGUAUAACCACUUUUACAUUCAAAUUCAAGGUAAGCAUGCACUGGAGUGCCCUUGCUGAACCAGAGUGGGAAUGAGGUGAGCACCCACUCACCUCAUGAGUAUGGAAGAUAGUCUGUACUCUCCACUUAGAAAUCACUCUUCUUCCUUAUGGAAGAGAAAUACAGCUGCUCCUGAGCCUGAGCAUCACCACCAAAACAGCCAAACCACCCAGCCAGGGGAGGGCCUUGUGGUGGAAGUCUGCGAUGCCCCAGGGGGUGAGGCUGAAGCCUGGCUGAGCUGAGGGCACUGCACUGGUAAUUGCAGGCACCCAAGCUGCUCUUCAGUGCCCAGACAUGCUUUAGAUAUUUUCUGUGCCACAGUCCCCUACUUCAGCUUUACCUGGGAUUUGAGAUGUUGACACUAAAUAGCAAACCUGAUGCCUUGGAUUAAAAGCCACCAAAGUGGGACUAUUAAUUUCAGUAGGAACCAGAGUUUAUGGAGGUUCCUUUUUUUAUUUCUGUAGGAGGUAUCCACUCAGAUAUUCAGUGAAUUAUUUCUUUUUUUUCCAGAGUAAAUUUUGUGAUGUUUUUCGUUUUCAGAUUGUAAGACAUCCUGCUUAUAUGCUAUAGUCCUAAUAAAUACAGAUCAGACUUAAAGAGCUUCCGUAAAUGUCAUUAUUUCGAGGCAACCUACUCA